GCCGCAGCGGCGCGGCGGCAAGCGCGCGGGCCUUCCACGCCCGCAGUACCGGGUUCUCGGCCAGCAGCGGCUC
rnacentral:tRNA from 1 species